CCUACGGGAGGCUGCAGUGGGGAAUAUUGCACAAUGGGCGCAACCCUGAUGCAGCGACGCCGCGUGGGUGAAGGAGGAUUUCGGUAUGUAAAGCACUAUCAGCAGGGAAGAACGAUGACGGUACCAUACUAAUAAGCACCGGCUAAAUACGUGCCAGCAGCAGCGGUAAUACGUAGGGUGGAAGCGUUGGUCGGAUUUACUGGGUGUAAGUGGAGCGCAGGCGGUGUGUUAAGCCCGGUGUGAAACCCCUGGGCUCAACCGCGGGACUGCAUCGGGAACUGGCGAGCUGGAGUGUCGGAGGGGUAGGUGGAAUUCCAAGUGUAGCGGUGAAAUGCGUAGAUAUUAGGAGGAACACCAGUGGCGAAGGCGGCCUACUGGACGGUGACUGACGCUGAGGCGCGAAAGCGUGGGGAGCAAACAGGAUUAGAUACCCGAGUAGUC
rnacentral:rRNA from 1 species